rnacentral:rRNA from 1 species
GAUGAACGCUGGCGGCGUGCCUAACACAUGCAAGUCGAGCGAGAAGCUCACCACAGAUGCUUCGGUUGAAGUGAUGAGUGGAAAGCGGCGGACGGGUGAGUAACGCGUAGGCAACCUGCCCUUUGCAGAGGGAUAGCCUCGGGAAACCGGGAUUAAAACCUCAUGACACCUCUUAAAGACAUCUUUGAGAGGUCAAAGAUUUAUCGGCUGAGGAUGGGCCUGCGUCUGAUUAGCUAGUUGGUGGGGUAACGGCCUACCAAGGCGACGAUCAGUAGCCGACCUGAGAGGGUGAUCGGCCACAUUGGAACUGAGACACGGUCCAAACUCCUACGGGAGGCAGCAGUGGGGAAUAUUGCACAAUGGGGGAAACCCUGAUGCAGCAACGCCGCGUGUAGGAAGAAGGCCUUUGGGUCGUAAACUUCUGUUCUAAGGGAAGAUGAUGACGGUACCUUAGGAGCAAGUCCCGGCUAACUACGUGCCAGCCGCCGCAGUAAGAC